rnacentral:lncRNA from 1 species
UUUUUUCUCUUUUCCGCUCUCCUUCGUCUGAUCUUUCUUCUUUCAUUCUAUCUCUUUCUCUGUAACGAUCGACUCAUGUAUUCACCUCCUCACCAUCACCACCGGUCGACCUCUCUUUGUCUUCCUCUUCUCUGGCUUCAACUCCGCUAUUUCUAGUUGAUAUGUUUUGUUUUGUUUAUAGAUCUGAGAAGGUGUGACGAUAAAAAUCUUCAUUGAUCAAUGCAAAUCUGACCCUUCACUUCUCUCGACUCAUUCCUCGAGUAUCUCAAGAGGUACCAAAUCCUCUCUCUCCUCGUUUACUUCGAUCUAAUCGUCUUUUUAUAUGCUUUAAUUUGUAUCUGUGGUAGUUGUGAUUCAUAAAGUAUUCAUCUUUGUUCUUGACCCUCUUUGUGUUCUUAGAUGCCAAAAAGCUGAGUUCUUGCUUAAUGUUUCAUUUGUUCUUGACUCUCUUUGCGUUUAUAGGCAUAAGGUGAAUCUGACGAUGAAGGGAAGGAGAAGUGGUGGUGUUUUUAAUGGAUAGUUUUUACGCUCAACAAUGAAACAUUUGUUCUUAGACUUUGAUUAUUCCAAACCGAUGUGUGGCAAGACUAUGUAAGGUGGGGCACAUGCCACACCUAGGCUUACGUUCAAACAAUUAAACAUACUGACAAUUCAUACUGUAGCAUCGAUGCAUGGCGCAAACCGAGACUCUCAC